rnacentral:lncRNA from 1 species
UCUCCCUCUCCUUUCCCACUGCUUGCGCUCCCUCUCUUUCCCUCAAAUGAAUAAAUAAAAAAAAUCUUAAAAAAAAAAAAAAGAAGUGAUUGCAAUCGCUCCCUAAUUGGUCUCUCUGCUUCCACUCUUCCCUCCCUAAAGCUGAUGCUCUACUAAGCAUUUUUAAGAAUGUAAAUGAGGUCAGACAACUCUCCUCUUUAAACCUCUCUAUUGACCUCUCACUGCAAAUAGGGUAACAUCCAACUCCUGAUUCUGGAACUUACAAAGUCGAAACGGCACGGUCCUGAACCCUCAUACUGCUGUCCCCUCUAUUUGGAAGGUUCUUCCCACAGACCUUUGCCCUGGACUCCUUUACCCUGACACACUUUCCUGAGGACUCUCAACCCGCCCAGCCUUUCUCUUUGUUGUUUCCUGACUCCUUUGCUCCCAUUGCCCUUUCACUACCUGAAAUUUUGAUUUCCGUGUUUACUUGUGUGUCGUGGGCCCGGCCCUGCUGGAAUGCAAGCUCUAGCUCCACCAAAGUAGAUGUUCAAUGAACAUUUGCCUAAUAAAUCACUUAUUCACACCGUAAUAUACGUGACUGGCAAGUACCCCAAGUAUUUCAUUUGUCUUGGGCAUUACAUUUUAAUUGGGAUCAAAGCUUUAAGAUCAGGAAAAAAAGCAAGCUGGUAAGAUCCUAAUCAUCCAUUCACUGACCGGGGAGAAUUUCUUCACCACUCCCCUGCAAAGUCAUACCUCUAUUUUUAUUAGGCCACCCCCAUUUUCUGUCUGUACUUGCUUCUGGAUCCCCUCCAACUUUCCUGGGAGGUUCCCUCAGAAAUCUGUUCUUCCCCAGUUGAUUCCACCCCCUGCACCCCCAACCUUCAUCCAUGUUUGAACACCGGGGCUCACAGGUUCUUCUUUGCCGUAGCUGCACCCCAGGGAUGGCAGUUCCUCUCAGGGCUCGCAUGGGAAUGUGGCGACCCUUCAAUGAACAGGUUUCCUUCAAUUAAGGUCGUUGCCAUACUUCAUUCUGUUGCAUACAUUCCACUGAUCUCAGAAGAACACUUGGUAAGUAGUUGUUUUAAUGUAGAACUGUUUGCAAGAGGGAUUCCUGGGCAGCUCAUUUUGUUGAGCAUCCAGCUCUUGGUUUUGGCCCAGGUUAUGAGCUCAAGGUCAUGAGAUGUAUGUAGUCCAGCGUUAGUCUCUGCACUCAGCGGGAAAUCUGCUUGACGAUUCUCUCCCUCACCCUUGGCCCUUUCUCCUGCUUGCACUCUCUUUCUUUUGUCUCUCAAAUAAAUAAAUCUAAAAAAAAAAAAAAGGAACAGUUUGCAAGAAAUAGAGAUCCACUCAAAUGGUUUAAAUACAAGGGGAUUAUGGUUAGAAGCAUUAAUUUGAAACAAGAGCAGUGACAUGGCUGGGGCUACCUCAGCACUGGGACCUCAGCACAGGUGAUCAUCAAUGCUUGUUCCAGUUUAAUCCUUUGUCAUUAAUUUGCCUUGGCUCUGCUCCAUGCAUCUGCAUCCUUCUGUCUCACUACCAGCUGGUAAUUUCACUCCGAUCUCUUAUCUUUUCAAGUCAAGCCGCAUAAGUCAGAGGUUGUUGCCAAUUGAGGACUCCCUACAACCUCCCUUGUGCCAGGUGACCAUCCUUGGUCAAAUUAGCCGAGGCUGGGAAACCAGAUUGUGGUUACUGCACAAAUUGAAAGAGAUUUAGAUAGGGGUAGAAUAUUUGAUUCAGGGGUAUAAGUGGAUCCAGAGAGAGAGAGAGGAACUUAAUUUGCUCAUCAACUAACAUGAAGUUCUUAUAUAAAAGUAAGUUUUUAGCCAACUCCAUUCAUUCUACUAGCCAUCUUCAAAUCUACCUAGCUUUUAUUUAAAAGUGCUAAAAGAAAGAAUAAUCCAUAAAGCUGAUGUCACUAGCUUUUAAUUGUAUAGAUAUCAUUGAAGUUGUUAAAAGCAAGUUUAAACUAAGCUGCAAGUGCUAGUUAAGUUCUAGAAAGAGUAGUUUCUUCUCUGUGGACUCAUUAGAGCUUAUAAUGUGCACGAUGAAGUUCUAAGAGGGAGACAAGGUAUACGGAAUUUCCCAAAUUAUUUUUGAUCACAGAAAUAUUUUUUUGAAGAUUUUUAUUUAUUUAUUCAACGAGACACAGAGAGAGGCAGAGACAGAGGCAGAGGAGAAGCAGGCUCCUCAUCAGGAGCCCAAUGUGGGACUCGAUCUCAGGACCCCGGGGUCACACCCUGAGCUGAAGGCAGAUGCUCCACCGCUGAGCCACCCAGGCAGCCCACAGAAAUUGUUUUCCAUGGGCUUCUUAAGGGAACACGCUUUGAGAGAUUGUGGAUCUGCUAAAUACAGUAGAGCAAGUAAAAAAAAGAAGAAGUGCCUUAAGUAAGGCUUAGCAUCUACACAGUGUAGACUCUGUACCCAAGGGUAGAACUGAACCACAACAUUUUGGCUGUUUACCUAUCUUAAAACACACAGGAUCCUGGAGUGUUAUGCCUUUAUGAAGCUGCAUAAAGAGCUGAGAAAUAGCUGGAGUCAUGAAAUCUUUCAGAACAAUUGCUACUAACUGGUGUGCUUAUUUCGAGAUAGUUUGGUAGGUAAUAGUGUCCAAUCCAGGUUCCUCAAACUUUUAGGUAAUCU